GGCGGAGGGUAAGAGGGGGCGCGAGACCCAGUCCUCGCUGGGGGCGCGCGCACGGGGCGGCUGGGGCGGGGCCAGCGAGGGGCGUAGCCAAGCCGGGGGCGCGCGGCCCCUGCAAUGUCUGCAAGGGUCGGGAGAAGCCGGCGGCCCGCAGGCCCGGAGGGGACCGAAGGGGCUGGGGGGGUCCGGGGCUGAGCCAGCAGGGUCCGCUCCCUCACAGGGAAGGCUGAGUGCCCGCCUUGGAGAGGAAGGCCGCCCUUUGCCAGGUGGGCCGCCUCCGCAAAGACUUGGUCGUCGUCAUCUGGGGCACUCGGCCAAGGAAGGACUUCCUCUGAGCUGUAAUGAUCAACCCGCGGCGGGAAGGUUUCCAUAAGCCAAGGCACACUGGAGAUACUUCUGAGGGAAAUGAAAGGAGAAGGAUUUCUUCCAAAAUAGAUACUGCCUCCUCCUCAGGUCAACAAACUCUCUUUUCAGGGCAGACGUCUGCUGGAUCCAUGUCAACACUCGAAAGGCUGAGAGGGGGUCUGGAUUCCCUGAUGCGCCCAAGAGCCUCCAUCCUGGGUCCAACCGGGCUAUCAGUUUCUCUGUCCUCUAAGGUAGGCAGACCCCGAACUGUCCAAGUGCACAGUAGUGGGUCAGGCUGCUU
rnacentral:lncRNA from 1 species